AAGAAAACGCUCNUGCGGGAGUAAUUGACGGUACCUGAGGAAUAAGCACCGGCUAACUCCGUGCCAGCAGCCGCGGUAAUACGGAGGGGGCUAGCGUUGUCCGGAGUCACUGGGCGUAAAGCGCGCGUAGGCGGCCUGUUAAGUUGGAUGUGAAAGCCCGGGGCUCAACCCCGGAUGCGCAUCCGAGACUGGCAGGCUGGAGUCCGGGAGAGGGCGGCGGAAUUCCCAGUGUAGAGGUGAAAUUCGUAGAUAUUGGGAAGAACACCGGUGGCGAAGGCGGCCGCCUGGCCCGGAACUGACGCUGAGGCGCGAAAGCGUGGGGAGCAAACAGGAUUAGAUACCCUGGUAGUCCACGCCGUAAACGAUGAGCGCUAGAUGUCGGGGGGUUAUCCCUUCGGUGUCGCAGCUAACGCA
rnacentral:rRNA from 1 species